ensembl:lncRNA
AGGCGAAGAAGAAGAAGAAGAAGAAGAAGAAGAAGAAGAAGAAGAAGAAGAAGAAAAAAGAAAAAGAAGAAAAAGAAAAAGAAGAAACAGCGAAUGCGAAAGAUGAAGAGAGAAUAUAGAGGAGUAAGCAGGACAUCAGAGAGACUGUGGACACCAUCCAGAUGUUCAGUACAUACGAGCCAACAGGCAGGGGUGUCAAACAUGCGGCCCGCGGGCCAGAACCGGCCCUCCAGAGGGUCCUAUCCGGCCCUCUGGAUGACUUUGUAAAGUGUAAAAACUACAAACAAGACAUUAACCGCAAAUUUUAAAUUUGCAAGACAGUAAAUUCAGAAUAAUUUCUAGACCAUGAUGAGUUGGCGUGAUCAUAAAGUAAAAUACUAGAUUGCUCAUUCUGUUGUCAUUUUGUGUCUCGUUUUUGUAAUCUUUUGUCUUGCUUUUGUUGUUUUUUGUCUUUUUUCGUCCUAUUUUUGUUGUUUGUGUCAUGUUUUUGUUGUUUUGAUUCUCGUUUUUGUCAAUUCCGUUUCUUUUUUGUCUCACUUGUGUUUUUUGUCUCAUUUUUGUCAUUUUGUGUUUUCUUUCAAUUGUUGUUUUGUGCACUGUUUGUCAUUCUGUUUUUUGUCUUAUUUGUGUUGUCUACUUUUUGUCGUUUUGCUUCUCGCUUUUGUCAUUUUUUGUCUUGUUUUUGUCAGUUGUACAUUUUUUGUUGCUUUGUAACUUAGAAUUUUAAAUUUUUGUCUAUUUUUUUGCCUCUUUUUUGGUUGUCGUUUGUCUCAUUUUGUGUCUCGUUUUUGUAAUCUUUUGUCUUGCUUUUGUUGUUUUUUGUCUUUUUCAUCUGACUUUUGUCAUUUGUCUUGUAUUUUUUUUGCUGUGUGUUUCCUUUUUGUCUCACUUGUUUUUUGUCUUAUUUUUGUCAUUUUGGGGUUCACUUUAUUUGUUGUUUUGUGUAUCGUUUUUGUCAUUUUGUGUUUUUAUUGUCUCGCUUGUGUUGUUUGUCCAUUUUUUGUCAUUUUGUUUCUCGCUUUUGUCAUUUUUUUGUCUCAUUUGUGUAAUUUUUUGUCGAUGGUUUUGUCACUUUG